rnacentral:rRNA from 1 species
AAGUUGUUGCAGUUAAAAAGCUCGUAGUUGAACUUUGGGCCUGGGCGGACGGUCUACCUAUGGUAAGCACUGUUGCGGCCGGGUCUUUCCUUCUGGCUAGCCCUCGGGCGAACCAGGACGAUUACUUUGAGGAAAUUAGAGUGUUCAAAGCAGGCCUUUGCUCGGAUAUAUUAGCAUGGAAUAAUAGAAUAGGACGCAUGGUUCUAUUUUGUUGGUUUCUAGGACCAUCGUAAUGAUUAAUAGGGACGGUCGGGGGCAUCAGUAUUCAGUCGUCAGAGGUGAAAUUCUUGGAUUGACUGAAGACUAACUACUGCGAAAGCAUUUGCCAAGGACGUUUUCAUUAAUCAAGAACGAAAGUUAGGGGAUCGAAGAUGAUCAGAUACCGUCGUAGUCUUAACCAUAAACUAUGCCGACUAGGGAUCGGGUGGUGCUACUUUGCCCACUCGGCACCUUACGAGAAAUCAAAGUUUUUGGGUUCUGGGGGGAGUAUGGUCGCAAGGCUGAAACUUAAAGGAAUUGACGGANGGGCACCACCAGGAGUGGAGCCUGCGGCUUAAUUUGACUCAACACGGGGAAACUCACCAGGUCCAGACGUAAUAAGGAUUGACAAGUUANAGACUUCUCUUGAUCUUACGGGUGGUGGUGCAUGGCCGUUUUUAGUCCUUGGAGUGAUUUGUCUGCUUAAUUGCGAUAACGGACGAGACCUUAACCUGCUAAAUAGGGCUGCGAGCAUCUGCUCGGGUGCUCUUCUUAGAGGGACUAUGGGUAUCAAACCCAUGGAAGUUUGAGGCAACAACAGGUCUGUGAUGCCCUUAGACGUUCUGGGCCGCACGCGCGCUACNCUGACGGAGCCCGCAAGUCCCACCUUGGUCGAGAGGCCCGGGUAAUCUCGUGAA